rnacentral:rRNA from 1 species
UACGGAGGGAGCAAGCGUUACUCGGAAUCACUGGGCGUAAAGCGCACGUAGGCGGACUCUUAAGUCGGUGGUGAAAUCCUGGAGCUCAACUCCAGAACUGCCUUCGAUACUGAGAGUCUCGAGUCCGGGAGAGGUGAGUGGAACUGCGAGUGUAGAGGUGAAAUUCGUAGAUAUUCGCAAGAACACCAGUGGCGAAGGCGGCUCACUGGCCCGGUACUGACGCUGAGGUGCGAAAGCGUGGGGAGCAAACAGG